AUUGAACGCUGGCGGCAGGCCUAACACAUGCAAGUCGAGCGGAUGAAGGGAGCUUGCUCCUGGAUUCAGCGGCGGACGGGUGAGUAAUGCCUAGGAAUCUGCCUGGUAGUGGGGGAUAACGUCCGGAAACGGGCGCUAAUACCGCAUACGUCCUGAGGGAGAAAGUGGGGGAUCUUCGGACCUCACGCUAUCAGAUGAGCCUAGGUCGGAUUAGCUAGUUGGUGGGGUAAAGGCCUACCAAGGCGACGAUCCGUAACUGGUCUGAGAGGAUGAUCAGUCACACGGGAACUGAGACACGCUCCAGACUCCUACGGGAGGCAGCAGUGGGGAAUAUUGGACAAUGGGCGAAAGCCUGAUCCAGCCAUGCCGCGUGUGUGAAGAAGGUCUUCGGAUUGUAAAGCACUUUAAGUUGGGAGGAAGGGCAGUAAGUUAAUACCUUGCUGUUUUGACGUUACCAACAGAAUAAGCACCGGCUAACUUCGUG
rnacentral:rRNA from 1 species